rnacentral:pre_miRNA from 1 species
UGGUGAAUUACUGGGCAUUUACUCCUUUGGCAGAUGGUUUAUACACAAAUAUUUUCACUGGGAGCGAAUGUAAUAUAAGCUCACUGCCAAAGGAGAUUUGCCUAGCAAUUCUCCG